GAUGAAGAACGUAGCGAAAUGCGAUAAGUAAUGUGAAUCGCAGAAUUCAGUGAAUCAUCGAAUCUUUGAACGCACAUUGCGCCCGCCAGCAUUCUGGCGGGCAUGCCUGUUCGAGCGUCAUUUCAACCCUCGAGCCCCCCCGGGGGCCUCGGUGUUGGGGGACGGCACACCAGCCGCCCCCGAAAUGCAGUGGCGACCCCGCCGCAGCCUCCCCUGCGUAGUAGCACACACCUCGCACCGGAGCGCGGAGGCGGUCACGCCGUAAAACGCCCAACUUUCUUAGAGUUGACCUCGGAUCAGGUAGGAAUACCCGCUGAACUUAAGCAUAUCAAUAAGCGGAGGA
rnacentral:misc_RNA from 1 species